CCUACGGGAGGCUGCAGUCGAGAAUCAUUCACAAUGGGGGAAACCCUGAUGGUGCGACGCCGCGUGGGGGAAUGAAGGUCUUCGGAUUGUAAACCCCUGUCAUGUGGGAGCAAAUUAAAAUGAUAGUACCACAAGAGGAAGAGACGGCUAACUAUGUGCCAGCAGCCGCGGUAAUACAGAGGUCUCAAGCGUUGUUCGGAAUCACUGGGCGUAAAGGGUGCGUAGGCUGUUUCGUAAGUCGUGUGUGAAAGACGCGGGCUCAACACGAGGACGGCACGUGAUACUGCGAGACUAGAGUAAUGGAGAGGGUGCCGGAAUUCUCGGUGUAGCAGUGAAAUGCGUAGAUAUCGAGAGGAACACUCGUGGCGAAGGCGGGUUCCUGGACAUUAACUGACGCUGAGGCACGAAGGCCAGGGGAGCGAAAGGGAUUAGAUACCCCAGUAGUC
rnacentral:rRNA from 1 species